rnacentral:rRNA from 1 species
AGAGUUUGAUCAUGGCUCAGAUUGAACGCUGGCGGCAGGCCUAACACAUGCAAGUCGAGCGGAUGAGAGGAGCUUGCUCCUUAAUUCAGCGGCGGACGGGUGAGUAAUGCCUAGGAAUCUGCCUGGUAGUGGGGGACAACGUUUCGAAAGGAACGCUAAUACCGCAUACGUCCUACGGGAGAAAGCAGGGGACCUUCGGGCCUUGCGCUAUCAGAUGAGCCUAGGUCGGAUUAGCUAGUUGGUGAGGUAAUGGCUCACCAAGGCGACGAUCCGUAACUGGUCUGAGAGGAUGAUCAGUCACACUGGAACUGAGACACGGUCCAGACUCCUACGGGAGGCAGCAGUGGGGAAUAUUGGACAAUGGGCGAAAGCCUGAUCCAGCCAUGCCGCGUGUGUGAAGAAGGUCUUCGGAUUGUAAAGCACUUUAAGUUGGGAGGAAGGGCAGUAAAUUAAUACUUUGCUGUUUUGACGUUACCGACAGAAUAAGCACCGGCUAACUCUGUGCCAGCAGCCGCGGUAAUAC